rnacentral:rRNA from 1 species
UGGGGAAUAUUGGACAAUGGGCGCAAGCCUGAUCCAGCCAUGCCGCGUGAGUGAUGAAGGCCCUAGGGUUGUAAAGCUCUUUCACCGGUGAAGAUAAUGACGGCAACCGGAGAAGAAGCCCCGGCUAACUUCGUGCCAGCAGCCGCGGUAAUACGAAGGGGGCUAGCGUUGUUCGGAUUUACUGGGCGUAAAGCGCACGUAGGCGGACUAUUAAGUCAGGGGUGAAAUCCCGGGGCUCAACCCCGGAACUGCCUUUGAUACUGGUAGUCUUGAGUUCGAGAGAGGUGAGUGGAAUUCCGAGUGUAGAGGUGAAAUUCGUAGAUAUUCGGAGGAACACCAGUGGCGAAGGCGGCUCACUGGCUCGAUACUGACGCUGAGGUGCGAAAGCGUGGGGAGCAAACAGG